UCCAAUCAUGGUUGGUUCCUAUGCACAGUUCAUUUUUCUAGUAUAUUAAUGCUCCAAACCUUGUCAGUGUUGAAGGCUGUCACACUUUCAGCUCAACCCAGAUCUGUAGACAGACUCAAUGGAAAGGACUAGUUUGAUUUUGCUACAUGUGUUCUGUGUUGUUCUUGCUUUGGUAAAUGUGUCUCUAGUGAAAGCAGAAGAUCCAUACAAGUUCUACACAUGGACAGUGACUUAUGGAACUCUUUCUCCUCUGGGCAGUCCUCAACAAGUUAUUCUGAUCAAUGGUCAGUUUCCUGGUCCAAGACUUGACUUGGUAACUAAUGACAACGUGAUUCUCAACCUCAUCAACAAGCUGGAUGAGCCAUUCUUGCUCACAUGGAAUGGCAUUAAGCAGAGGAAAAAUUCUUGGCAAGAUGGGGUUUUAGGAACUAACUGUCCCAUUCCUCCAAACUCAAAUUACACUUACAAGUUUCAGGCCAAGGAUCAGAUUGGCACUUAUACAUACUUUCCAUCAACUAAGAUGCAUAAAGCUUCUGGAGGGUUUGGAGCUCUCAAUGUUCUUCAUAGAUCUGUCAUCCCAAUCCCUUAUCCAAACCCUGAUGGAGAUUUUACAUUACUCAUUGGUGAUUGGUACAAAACUAGCCACAAGACAUUAAGCCAAACAUUGGAUUCUGGGAAAUCUCUUGCCUUUCCUGAUGGCCUCCUUAUCAAUGGCCAGGCUCAUUCUACCUUCACUGUUAACCAGGGAAAAACCUAUAUGUUCAGGAUCUCAAAUGUUGGUCUGUCAACCUCAAUUAACUUCAGAAUUCAGGGACAUACCCUAAAACUAGUUGAGGUUGAAGGAUCACACACUAUCCAGAACGAAUACGACUCGCUUGAUGUGCAUGUUGGCCAAUCAGUUUCUGUGUUAGUAACCUUAAAUCAACCUCCAAAGGACUAUUACAUCGUUGCCUCAACAAGAUUUACCAAGACUGUUCUCACUACAACCUCAGUGCUACACUAAAAUUCUCAGUCAGCCGCAUCAGGAUCCUUGCCUGCUCCCCCUGCUGACAAUUAUGACUGGUCUAUGAAGCAAGCUAGAACCUACAGAUGGAAUCUGACAGCAAAUGCUGCCAGGCCUAACCCACAAGGGUCAUUCCAUUAUGGGAAGAUAACUCCUAAUAAAUUAUUCAAAUUGGCUAAUUCAGCACCUUUGAUUAAUGGAAAGCUCCGUUAUGCUGUUAACAAGGUUUCCUAUGCUAACCCUGAUACCCCUCUCAAACUUGCUGAUUACUUCAACAUUGCCGGAAUCUUCAGCUCACUUCCAAGCGCCCCUUCUAAUAGUCCCGAAUACAUAGCUACUUCAGUGUUGCCAACUUCUCUGCACGAUUUUAUUGAGGUUGUUUACCAGAACAAUGAAAAUACCAUGCAAUCUUGGCAUCUUGAUGGUUAUGAUUUCUGGGUUAUUGGCUAUGGUUUCGGCCAGUGGACAGAUGCCAGUAGAAGUACCUAUAAUCUAGUGGAUGCUCUGACUAGACACACUGCUCAGGUGUAUCCAAACUCUUGGACUGCUAUAUUGGUGUCCUUGGAUAACCAAGGUAUGUGGAAUUUGAGGUCUGCAAUAUGGGAAAGACAAUAUCUUGGGCAACAAGUGUAUCUCAGAGUAUGGAAUGCACAGCAAAGCCUUGCCAAUGAAUAUGGAAUUCCCAAUAAUGCUCUGCUUUGCGGCAAAGCCAUUGGACAUCACGCUUAAUAUCACCUAGUACCAACCAUUUGUUGGUGUUUUUUCUAGUCAUGAGAGUUUGACUACAAUUAGUUUGUCCUCUUUAAAGAAGUAGAAGUUAGUUUCUCAAAUUUCUGAAAGGCUUCCAUAUAUUUGAGAAAAGUCUUGUAUUGAAUUUUCACUUACAUUGAUUCUAUAUUUAAUUAUUCAUAGUUAUAAUUUAUGAAGGUAUAUUUCAUUUAUUCAAA